CCUACGGGUGGCAGCAGUGAGGAAUAUUGGUCAAUGGACGAAAGUCUGAACCAGCCAUGCCGCGUGAAGGAAGACGGCUCUAUGGGUUGUAAACUGCUUUUGUACGGGAGUAAACCUGAAUACGUGUAUUCAGCUGAAAGUACUAUACGAAUAAGGAUCGGCUAACUCUGUGCCAGCAGCCGCGGUAAUACGGAGGAUCCGAGCGUUAUCCGGAUUUAUUGGGUUUAAAGGGUGCGUAGGCGGAUUGAUAAGUUAGUUGUGAAAGUUCCGGGCUUAACCCGGGAACUGCCUCUAAUACUGUUGAUCUAGAGAGUAGAUGCGGUAGGCGGAAUGUAUGGUGUAGCGGUGAAAUGCUUAGAGAUCAUAAAGAACACCGAUUGCGAAGGCAGUUCACCAAUCUAUAUCUGACGUUGAGGCACGAAAGCGUGGGGAGCAAACAGGAUUAGAUACCCCGGUAGUC
rnacentral:rRNA from 1 species